ensembl:lncRNA
ACUCCUCCGGCUGCGUCCCGGCCGCGCUCCCGGCGCGCACUCCAGCAGGAUGAGAGCGGCGGAGCUCCUGGUGCUGUGUCUGCCAGCGCUCCUGGUGCAGGGACAGUUCAGCAGGUUCGAGGGCAUCACCUAUCCCGAGCCAGCCCAGUACUCCCAGUACGACCAGCAGGCAGGUGAGCCUCAGCCCCGGGCUGCACCUGCCCCCGCCCGCCUCCCUCCUGCCUCCCUUCCCUUCCGGCUCGGGUCCCUCUUUGUGCUCCAUCCUCUUCCUGCCGCCCUCGGAAUUCCCGACCUUCCCAUCUCCUCCCUCUGCUCUCACUGACAAGUCCUUAUUGAACCUUUAUCCAAUGCUUUAUUAAACCUCUAUCCAGUUAUUUAUUGAACCUUUAUCCAAGUCUUUAUUAAACCUUUAUCCAAGUCUUUAUUGAACCUUUAUCCAAGUCUUUAUCAAACCGUUAUCCAAUUCUUUUUUGAACCUUUACUCAUCCCAAAUCCCCACCUGGUGGGACGUGGCGCAGUCUCAUCCCUGGAGUGGCUGGAGGGAGUUUUCCUGAACCCCCACAGAAUUCCAGGGAUCCCAUUUCCCCCUCCUGACGCCCACGGGAUGAGUUUUCUCCCUAAACCCUCCCUCAGACUGUUUUUGUUUCAUCCCCAGAAAUUCAGGAUUACUACGACUACCAUGGUGAGUGUUUCCCUGGGGGAUGCCGGGGGGGAUCAGGAUUUUGGGGUGUCCCUGCACUGGGUCUCUCCUUGCAGAUGUCACCCCCCGAGCCCCAGAGGAGCAGUUCCGGUUCCAAUCCCAGCAGCAAUCCCAGCAGGAAACCGUGCCAGCCCCGACCCCAGGUGGGUGACAGCCCCCGGGGUGGGUAACAGCCCCCCGAGAUAGAUGACAAUCCCCCAGGGUGGGUGACAGCCCCCGGGGUGGGUAACAGCCCCCCGCCCCCCCCCCCCCCCCCCCCCCCCCCCCCCCCCCCCCCCCCCCCCCCCCCCCCCCCCCCCCCCCCCCCCCCCCCCCCCCCCCCCCCCCCCCCCCCCCCCCCCCCCCCCCCCCCCCCCCCCCCCCCCCCCCCCCCCCCCCCCCCCCCCCCCCCCUGUCCCCUGUCCUUUGUCCCCUGUCCCCUGUCCCUCUGUCCUCUGUCCCCCUGUCUCCCUGUCCCUCUGUCCCUCUGUCCCCCUGUCCCGUUUCUGGGCCGGGGGAGGCGCUGGCUGAGGAAUUCCCGGGAAUUCCCGUUUCCCAGACUGCCGGGAGGAGCAGUACCCCUGCACCCGGCUCUACUCCGUGCACAAGCCCUGCAAGCAGUGCCUGAACGAGAUCUGCUUCUACAGCCUCCGCCGGGUGUACGUCAUCAACAAGGAGAUCUGCGUCCGCACCGUGUGCGCCCACGAAGAGCUGCUGCGAGCCGACCUGUGCCGGGACAAGUUCUCCAAGUGCGGGGUGAUGGCCACGAGCGGCCUGUGCCAGACGGUGGGAGCGUCCUGCGCCCGCAGCUGCGGCGGCCCCCCCCCCCCCCCCCCCCCCCCCCCCCCCCCCCCCCCCCCCCCCCCCCCCCCCCCCCCCCCCCCCCCCCCCCCCCCCCCCCCCCCCCCCC